UCUUACAGCCAUAUCACAUUGAAAACACCACUUCUUGUACAAUCACCGAAGUUAAGCAAUGUUGAGCCUAGUUAGUUCUUAAAUGGGUGACAGCUUGGGAAACCUACAUGCUGUACACA
rnacentral:rRNA from 1 species